rnacentral:rRNA from 1 species
GACGAACGCUGGCGGCGUGCUUAACACAUGCAAGUCGAACGGAAAGGCCCUGCUUUUGUGGGGUGCUCGAGUGGCGAACGGGUGAGUAACACGUGAGUAACCUGCCCCUGACUUUGGGAUAACUUCAGGAAACUGGGGCUAAUACCGGCUAGGAGCUCCUGCUGCAUGGUGGGGGUUGGAAAGUUUCGGCGGUUGGGGAUGGACUCGCGGCUUAUCAGCUUGUUGGUGGGGUAGUGGCUUACCAAGGCUUUGACGGGUAGCCGGCCUGAGAGGGUGACCGGCCACAUUGGGACUGAGAUACGGCCCAGACUCCUACGGGAGGCAGCAGUGGGGAAUAUUGCACAAUGGGCGGAAGCCUGAUGCGGCAACGCCGCGUGCGGGAUGACGGCCUUCGGGUUGUAAACCGCUUUCGCCUGUGACGAAGCGUGAGUGACGGUAAUGGGUAAAGAAGCACCGGCUAACUACGUG